GGGGCUUUGUCUGCAUUCAACUUCCUGUUAUCUGCCCUAAAUAAUAGCUCUCUCCCACCCUUCUUUCACCAAACAGAUGCAGAGCGCUCCGGGUUCUUUUGAAGACCCUGACCUGGAGUUACACACUGAAUUUGGCUCUUUGCAGGAAUGGGACCUGCUCACGAUUGCUGCUAUUCGACACACCAAGGACACGCCUAGAAGAUGAGUGUGCCUUCAGGGUUCCGGGAUUUCACGGCUCUGGAGACUGGCGGACUCGAGCACCAGGCCAUUGUUUAUAAGUCUUAGACUCAACAAUCACACGAGAAGGCUCUUCACUAACCUGCCCCUGCUGCAUUUCACUGCACUGCAACGAUGAAGGUUCAAGGUACGAACUUGCAAAGUGUGCCCCACUUAUCUCAGGACACGCAGCAAAUGUCGGACAUUGAUAAUGCAAAAUGUGCCAGGUGGAGCUUUGGCCAAUUGAGGAAAUGGAUAUUCGAAAGUCAAGACCUAAGGCCUGGAGCAUAGCUCAUGGUCAACGGGCAGUAGAGAUCCCUGUCGGGCAGUAGAGAUCCCUGUCGUAUCUACCUCUGAGAUAUGCAAACCUGCAGCAGAAUCCUCAAGACAAUGGAAAGAUGCCACCUGUGCAUUCUUUGCAAAAUCCUCCAGAUUCACUGGCAGGUACUGUGGGACAACGACCCAGUGGAUAGCGUACUGUCCAGAUCAUCUGUCCGAAUGCCUCGUCACCUGAACUGACCAACAAGCACCGUCAACUUGCUUUGUCGGCAAUGUUAAGGGGCGUCCUAGUCAGACCCUUCCUUUAUGGUCGAAAUAUAAUGUCCAACAUAUACUGUACUCAGGAGGAGAUAGUCACCCACCUCUUUGCCGACUGUGGAUUUGCUGUGAGGGUCUGGAAAAGGAUGCAGGGGGUUUCGUCUCAGUUCAUCUCAAGCAGGUGUGUACAGAUGGCUCUCUGAUAUACGGGAUAUUGCCAGGGACAGACACACACCCACCCCCCACCCCCCCUCCCGCUGGAAGAUUAUUAACUCAGUGAAAGACACUCUUUAACCUGCCCAAAACUCAUUGGUCUUCCAGCAUAGCAAAAUGUCCACCAGGGAAUGCUGUCAACUGCCACAGUCCAGGCUGCAGCAACAGGUGUUAAAAGAUGCACAGAGGCUUGGUUCAGCUAAUGCCCUGUGGGGAAGACCUAAAGUCUAGGGAUCUUCUGCUAAUGGACAUUGAAGGGUUGAGUCUGGUGGGGAAGGCUCUUAAAUAAUAGAAACAUAGAAAACCUACAGCACAAUACAGGCCCUAUGGCCCACAAAUCUGUGCCGAAUAUGUACUUACUUUAGAAAUUAUCUAGGGUUAUUCAUAGCUGUCCAUUUUUCUAAACUCCAUGUACCAUACCUAUCCAGGAGUCUCUUAAAAGACCCUAUCAUAUCCGCCUCCAACACCAUUGCCAGCAGCCCAUUCCACGCACUCAUCACUCUGUGUAAAAAACUUACCGCUGACAUCUCCUCUGUACCUAUUUCCAAGCACCUUAAAACUGUGCCCUCUCGUGUCAGCCAAUUGUGCCCCGGGAAAAAGCCUCUGACUAUCCACAUGAUCAAUGCCCCUCAUCAUGUUAUACACCUCUAUCAGGUCACCUCUCAUCCUCCAUCGCUCCAAGGAGAAAAGGCCAGUGAAAGAAUGUAUCUCCCCAGAGAGCCAUACAUGAGUGUAAUAAUGGUCCCAUGAUUAAAACAAGUGCUAACACUACUGAAUGCAUUGAUCAAAUGACACUAAGAUCAUAAAGACUUGCACCGUGUUUCUUUUCAAAUGUAUAUUUUAUUAUGAACAAAGUUUAUUUUGGGAAUUAAGAAAAUGCGGACUCCCCACAAGUCCAUCAGGCAGAGGUUAGCACUAAAUGUCCUUUAAGCACGGCAGGAGAAGGAUGUGGUGGAUUCUAUGAGGUUUUAUGCCCCAAGUAGACAGUCAAAGCCAUUUGGCAUAAUGCAGCACGAGCAGAACUCACCAAUAAGCAAUAAGUCUUUGCUUCCUGGCAGUGAGAGGAACUCCACUCAUCAGAUCCUUCCUGCAUGGUUGGAGACUCAGUCCCAAUGGACCCUGCCCCUGGAAUGGCUGCUGAGAGAGACCUUUUUGUGAACUGUGCAUUUGCAAAGGCCUGGAAAGAGAUGUAAGGUACUUUCGUUGGGCUUAUCCUGAGCAGCUGCAUGACAGAGGAUAUUGUGUUCUGCAGACUUUUCCCAGGGAUACCUACAGAGAUCGAUAUCCAGGGGUGCUGGAAGAUCACCAACAUGGUGAGAGACACACUUUGGUCUUCCUGAAACUUAAUUUCUCAUUAAAUCAAGACAUCCAUAAGGGAAUGCCAGAGUGCAGGAGUUCAUACUGAGGGAUACACUGGUGCAGCCAACACAAAGGAGGGGAAGGAUUGCAGCCUUAGGCCCCUGUACCACUAGGCACUAAGAUGUUAAGCCCAGUGUAAAAGCCUCUUAAACACAAGGUGUUUUGUAGCAUACGGGUGGGCGUGGUCACAGAGGAUGGCAAUUGUGCUCCCUGUACACAAAACGUGCUCACAUCACAAAUAUACAGAACUGGAAACUAUGAAUGUAUAGACUGACUGACCCUACCAAUGCAAAGGAAACCAUUCACUGUGGUUUGUUUUUCUAUUUCUUGCUAUCUCUUUACAAAUAAAAUUUAAAAUGAAAAAAAAAUCACCCAUGUGGGUCUAGACCCAACAUCCUCUCACAGAGGCAAGAAUAGAGUCAUGUGACCUAUAAUGAGAUUUGUCAUGCUCAGAUAAAGGUCAACGUUAUAUUUCUGAUAUUAGCUCAAGGUACAAGAGAGAUAAAUGAUAAGAUGAGGCAAAGCAGUGAUGUGGAGUUUGAAAAGAAUGUCAAUCAUAGCAGAACAGAAGGCAGAGGAAUAUCAUUUUACGUGCUGGCACAGAUGAAGCAAACCCCCACUGCUCUCACACAAAAAUAGUUCAAUGCUAAUCGAAAAAAAACAGACUACUUCUUUCUUUUGCUCCCCAACUCCUACAGAAGCCAACUUCUGCACUUAAACAGCAUAAAUGAAUCACACACUCACACACAGACACACUCGCUCACGCACACACACACACACACACGCUCACACACACACGCUCACACACACGCACAGACAGUUUUGUUAUCUACAUGUUCAUGUUGUUUCUGAUAACAUAUGAAGUGUAAUUCAGCAACAAUUUACAAUUACCUGCAGCAAAUUGCAAAUCCAAUCAUUUAUGAUCAGAUAAAACUGACUAAAGAAGGAAUAACAUGAAAUGAUAAUAUUUAUUCUAGACCAGAACAUCUUUGUUAAGUUUUCUUAUUUUUC